ACCUGACGCAGCGACGCCGCGUGCGGGAAGAAGGCCUUCGGGUUGUAAACCGCUUUCAGGAGGGACGAAGCCACUCGGGUGAACAGCCCAGAGGGUGACGGUACCUCCAGAAGAAGCCCCGGCUAACUACGUGCCAGCAGCCGCGGUAAUACGUAGGGGGCAAGCGUUGUCCGGAUUCAUUGGGCGUAAAGAGCGUGUAGGCGGCCAGGUAGGUCGGUUGUGAAAACUGGAGGCUCAACCUUCAGAGGUCGACCGAAACCAUCUGGCUAGAGUCCGGGAGAGGAGAGUGGAAUUCCUGGUGUAGCGGUGAAAUGCGCAGAUAUCAGGAAGAACACCCGUGGCGAAAGCGGCUCUCUGGAACGGUACUGACGCUGAGACGCGAAAGCGUGGGGAGCGAACAGGAUUAGAUACCCUGGUAGUCCACGCCGUAAACGAUGGGCACUAGGUGUGGGAGGUGUCGACUCCUUCCGUGCCGAAGCUAACGCAUUAAGUGCCCCGCCUGGGGAGUACGGCCGCAAGGCUA
rnacentral:rRNA from 1 species